UACGAAGGGUGCAAGCGUUAAUCGGAAUUACUGGGCGUAAAGCGUGCGUAGGCGGUGAGUUAAGUCUGUCGUGAAAUCCCCCGGGCUCAACCUGGGAAUUGCAUUGGAGACUGCAAGGCUGGAGUCUGGCAGAGGGGGGUAGAAUUCCACGUGUAGCAGUGAAAUGCGUAGAGAUGUGGAGGAACACCGAUGGCGAAGGCAGCCUCCUGGGCCAACACUGGACGCUCAUGCACGAAAGCGUGGGGAGCAAACAGG
rnacentral:rRNA from 1 species